rnacentral:rRNA from 1 species
GAGAAAUCGUGACCAGGGAACUCCAAGUGGCUGGGGUAAGACCCUGUCUUUUCUUGACUCUUCAAAGGUCUUGGAAUAAGGGGUGGGUAAGGACGGUGCCAGCCGCCGCGGUAAUACCGGCGCCUCAAGUGGUAGUCGAUUUUAUUGGGCCUAAAACGUCCGUAGCCUGUUUGGUACAUUCGUGGGUAAAUCAACCAGCUCAGCUGAUUGAAUUCUGCGAGCACGGCCAGACUUGGGACCGGGAGAGGUGUGGGGUACGCUCAGGGUAGGGGUAAAAUCCUGUCAUCCUGAGCGGACCACCUGUUGCGAAGGCGCCACGCUAGAACGGAUCCGACGGUCAGGGACGAAGCCUAGGGGCACGAACCGGAUUAGAUACCCGGGUAGUCCUAGGUGUAAACGCUGUGGACUUGGUGUUGGGGACUCUCCGAGAUUCCUCAGUGCCGAAGCGAAGGUGAUAAGUCCACUGCCUGGGGAGUACGGUCGCAAGGCUGAAACUUAAAGGAAUUGGCGGGGGAGCACCGCAACCUGAGGAUUGUGCGGUUUAAUUGGAU